GUGGGUGUAGCUCAGCGGUUAGAGCGCCGGGUUGUGGCCCCGGAGGCCGGGGGUUCAAAUCCCCUCACUCACCCCA
rnacentral:tRNA from 3 species